UGGGGAAUAUUGGACAAUGGACCGAGAGUCUGAUCCAGCAAUUCUGUGUGCACGAUGAAGUUUUUCGGAAUGUAAAGUGCUUUCAGUUGGGAAGAAAGAAAUGACGGUACCAACAGAAGAAGUGACGGCUAAAUACGUGCCAGCAGCCGCGGUAAUACGUAUGUCACGAGCGUUAUCCGGAUUUAUUGGGCGUAAAGCGCGUCUAGGUGGUUAUGUAAGUCUGAUGUGAAAAUGCAGGGCUCAACUCUGUAUUGCGUUGGAAACUGUGUAACUAGAGUACUGGAGAGGUAAGCGGAACUACAAGUGUAGAGGUGAAAUUCGUAGAUAUUUGUAGGAAUGCCGAUGGGGAAGCCAGCUUACUGGACAGAUACUGACGCUAAAGCGCGAAAGCGUGGGUAGCAAACAGG
rnacentral:rRNA from 1 species